rnacentral:lncRNA from 1 species
GUCAAAUAUUUUAUCUAUAAUAAUUGUUGAGGUUUCACGGCCCAAAACCACGAUAUGAUUACUAGUUACGCCGUAGAGGAGAGCUCCAGAAA